ACAAGUCAGUGACCAAUCUAAAUGAUUUUGAAGCUGUUUUUUUAGAUUUUAAGAUAAAAAUACUGCAUAAUGUUGCUUUAAAACCAGUUUUCAUCUGGGUGAUCACAGGGAUAUGUAUCAAUAUUUGAUGGUUGCAUCUGUCAGAUUUAUCGCCUGAGAAAAGCUGUUUCUCUCAAAAACUGUCCGAUUAAUCAGCUGAGUCAGUGUACUGGUGCAAAGCAGGCCGAUACAUAAAAGGGCCACAGAGUAAGAUCAGCUUCAAUGCCGUCCAACUUAUGUCACGGCCCUCCAUGAGUGCCCGUUUGGUUCCUGACUGACAGCACCAGCUGAUGCUCUCCCCGACUCAAGAAUUUCCAGGAGUGCUCCCCCUCUAGUUUGCCUCUUCUUUUCUACCUCAUUCUAUUCCUGGACAUUCCCCGGGGGAGCAGCUGAACCUUCUAGACAAACACACCCUAUAUAAGGCUGGAGGUAUGCCAUCACUCCUCCCACUCCAGCCCUCUAUCCCUCCAUUAUUCCUCUUAUGCCUCUCUCUGUCCCUUUCCUCACUAUCCCUUCUCACUGGCCACCCUUCUCUAUGCCUCUCCAACAACCAUGUCACUCCUUGAUGUCCUUUACCCCCAAUGCAGUGAUGUUCAGGGGUACUUCAAAAAAAUCACUAACAAAAAACAUUUGAAUGAGGCUUACAGUUUUUGAAUUUGUGUUGGGACUGCGUCAGAGAGGAGUAUUGUUUGUAGUAGUAGUAUUUUGAUUUCAAGUGUUCACAUGAAUCAACUCUCUUCAGUUGGAACAAGUGAGCACAACUACAAAAUCAUAUAUUUUAACAGAUUCAGCUCACUUUCAAAACCCAAGAUCUUUCUCAGUUUGUGUGAUACCUCAUUAAAAACCUUUUGAAUCUUGUGACAAACCACCAA